rnacentral:rRNA from 1 species
GACGAACGCUGGCGGCGUGCCUAAUACAUGCAAGUCGAGCGGACGGAUGGGAGCUUGCUCCCAGACCGUCAGCAGCGGACGGGUGAGUAACACGUGGGCAACCUGCCUGUAAGACUGGGAUAACUCCGGGAAACCGGGGCUAAUACCGGAUAACUCUUUCCCUCACAUGAGGGAAAGCUGAAAGAUGGCAUCUCGCUAUCACUUACAGAUGGGCCCGCGGCGCAUUAGCUAGUUGGUGAGGUAACGGCUCACCAAGGCGACGAUGCGUAGCCGACCUGAGAGGGUGAUCGGCCACACUGGGACUGAGACACGGCCCAGACUCCUACGGGAGGCAGCAGUAGGGAAUCUUCCGCAAUGGACGAAAGUCUGACGGAGCAACGCCGCGUGAGUGAUGAAGGUUUUCGGAUCGUAAAACUCUGUUGUCAGGGAAGAACAAGUACCGGAGUAACUGCCGGUACCUUGACGGUACCUGACCAGAAAGCCACGGCUAACUACGUG